CACAUCUGGAUGUGAUUUACAGUAUAUAUAUCUGUCAACACAGUCACAUGAUGUACAGUCCUGUACUAUGAUUCUGGUCCGCGAUGGCAAAAAUAAUAUAUUCUAAUGUGGCCCUGCAUGGAAAAUAAUUCCCCAGGCCUGAUUUACACCAUAGUGUCUUCCUUUCAGAGGUGGCCUGAUUUACACCAUAGUGUCUUCCUUUCAGAGGUGGCCUGAUUUACACCAUAGUGUCUUCCUUUCAGAGGUGGCCUGAUUUACACCAUAGUGUCUUCCUUUCAGAGGUGGCCUGAUUUACACCAUAGUGUCUUCCUUUCAGAGGUGGCCUGAUUUACACCAUAGUGUCUUCCUUUCAGAGGUGGCCUGAUUUACACCAUAGUGUCUUCCUUUCAGAGGUGGCCUGAUUUACACCAUAGUGUCUUCCUUUCAGAGGUGGCCUGAUUUACAUAAUAGUGUCUUCCUUUCAGAGGUGGCCUGAUUUACACCAUAGUGUCUUCCUUUCAGAGGUGGCCUGAUUUACACCAUAGUGUCUUCCUUUCAGAGGUGGCCUGAUUUACAUCAUAGUGUCUUCCUUUCAGAGGUGGCCUGAUUUACACCAUAGUGAUUAGGUAAGGAGACAUUAAACAAAUACUGCUUGCUGUUGUACAGUACAGUAAAUGCUGGGAGUGAUCAUGAACUGAGAGAAAGUCUCAUCAGGGAUAUAAUGUAUGGCUAUCUAGUAACACUAAACACCUAACCACUUCUUAACAGAGAUCAACCUGCGGAGGUUGACAU